ACCCCGUGCACAUACAAACGCUUGCUAGUUGUAACACAGAGGGUCACAGCGCACAUAUACAAGUACUGACUGAUUCUGUGGUUCACAUGCCUAGUCGGUGGUGAUGUGUACCCCGAUGGCGAUGAGGAAGACGGCGGCGAGGGCGAAGAAGAUGAUGGCGUGGACGAAGAUGGAGGCGCCGCUGGUCUGGAAGUUGCCGAACUCGACGAAGCGGCCGCCCUUGGCCGGCAGCUGCAGCAGCAGCCCCGGAGAGAGCAGCACGAACAGCACCACCGCC
rnacentral:lncRNA from 1 species